rnacentral:rRNA from 1 species
UACCAGCACCCCGAGUGGUCGGGACGUUUAUUGGGCCUAAAGCAUCCGUAGCCGGUUCUACAAGUCUUCCGUUAAAUCCACCUGCUUAACAGAUGGGCUGCAGAAGAUACUAUGGAGCUAGGAGGCGGGAGAGGCAAGCGGUACUCGAUGGGUAGGGGUAAAAUCCGUUGAUCCAUUGAAGACCACCAGUGGCGAAGGCGGCUUGCCAGAACGCGCUCGACGGUGAGGGAUGAAAGCUGGGGGAGCAAACCGG